AUUGAACGCUAGCGGGAUGCUUUACACAUGCAAGUCGAACGAGUGGCGGACGGGUGAGUAAUAUAUCGGAACGUGCCCAGUAGCGGGGGAUAACUACUCGAAAGAGUGGCUAAUACCGCAUACUAUUGGAGCGGCCGAUAUCGGAUUAUCUAGUUGGGGGGGUAAAGGGUAACCAAGGCAACGAUCCGUAGCUGGUUUGAGAGGACGACCAGCCAAAACGGGACUGAGACACGGGCCAGACUCCUACGGGAGGCAGCAGUGGGGAAUUUUGGACAAUGGGGGAAACCCUGAUCCAGCCAAUCCGCGUGUAUGAGAAGGGCUUCGGGUUGGAAAAGACUUUUUGGAGGGAAGCGGUAUCUGCAGAAUAAGCACCGGCUAACUACGUGCCAGCAGCCGCGGUAAUUC
rnacentral:rRNA from 1 species